rnacentral:lncRNA from 1 species
UUCUUGGUAGGUUUCUCUCAUUCAGCGUUUUUGUGAAUUUUCAGGUAAAAAAUAAGAUUUCUCUUUCUAUUUUUUGUAUAAGAAUUUUUCGAAAAAAUAAUUCGAUUAUGUUGGCAUCAAAUUCUGGCACUAUUUGAGCUCCUUUUCAAGAAAUAGAUUUUAAAAUAAUGAUUUUUUUUUAAGAAUGACAACUGGUGCGAACGAUGGCAAAAGUAUGUGUCAUUUGCAAGUUCGAACGGUGACUGGUGCGAGCGUGGGGAGGGGAUUUGGGGUUUUUGGAUGUUAUCUCUCUCUCUUUUACCAUCCGCAAUUAAUGAUUUUUGGGGUUUUGUUGGUUGUAUUUUUAGAUCUUGGCGAUGGUUGUAGUGGUGGUGUUGGUAGCUGAUAAAUGUGUUUUUGCACACUUAUUUAUUUAGGUCAUAAACAUAACUUAAACACGAGCAAAAUGAUUGAAUUGUUACUUAAUCUUAUAUAAUUGUGAAUUAUAGGAAACAACGAUGAACAUAGUGAAGAUGAACAUAGUGAAAUUCAGGAGAAAAGACGCGAAGAAGGACUAAAGUGACACAAAGUGAAAUUUCAGGGACCAAAAGUGCAAAUAUCCAAAAGUUGAUCUGAUAAACAAAUCGAGAAAUCGAUCAGGCCAAUUACCAAUUGACGAUAUCGUGGGGUGUUAAAAUGAAAAGAAUGAAGAGAAGAUUUUAAAGAGUGAAGGAUGCAAGUGAGAGGACCAAAACGCAAUUCUACCAUAGUUGAUAGUACUAUGCGACCGCAUAGAACCCAAACGGGAGCUAUAAAUAUAUAUUGUAUUGUGCUAUAAAUAUAUGUUGUAUUGUGUUAUUAAUAUUCAAUAACGAAUAAUUCUCUGAAACAAUCAAA